rnacentral:rRNA from 1 species
CUACGGGAGGCAGCAGUGGGGAAUUUUCCGCAAUGGGCGAAAGCCUGACGGAGCAACGCCGCGUGAGGGAUGAAGGCCUCUGGGCUGUAAACCUCUUUUAUCAAGGAAGAAGAUCUGACGGUACUUGAUGAAUAAGCCACGGCUAAUUCCGUGCCAGCAGCCGCGGUAAUACGGGAGUGGCAAGCGUUAUCCGGAAUUAUUGGGCGUAAAGCGUCCGCAGGCGGCCCUUCAAGUCUGCUGUUAAAACGUGGAGCUUAACUCCAUCAUGGCAGUGGAAACUGUUGGGCUUGAGUGUGGUAGGGGCAGAGGGAAUUCCCGGUGUAGCGGUGAAAUGCGUAGAUAUCGGGAAGAACACCAGUGGCGAAGGCGCUCUGCUGGGCCAUCACUGACGCUCAUGGACGAAAGCCAGGGGAGCGAAAGGGAUUAGAUACCCCUGUAGUCCUGGCCGUAAACGAUGAACACUAGGUGUCGGGGGAAUCGACCCCUUCGGUGUCGUAGCUAACGCGUUAAGUGUUCCGCCUGGGGAGUACGCACGCAAGUGUGAAACUCAAAGGAAUUGACGG